CAAAUUAAAGCUUUGAUAAAGCAUUUUUAUUUACAAUAAAAAUGUUAUUGUGAAAUUCAGUAUAAUUUGA
rnacentral:tRNA from 1 species